UGCAGUCGAACGAGGUGCUUGAGUAGCAAUACAAGAGUAUCCUAGUGGCGAACGGGUGAGUAACGCGUUGGUGGCCUACCCCAAAGUGUGGGAUAACAGUUCGAAAGAACUGCUAAUACCGCAUGUGGUUAUCGGGUUUAGAAACUGAUAACUAAAGGAGCAAUUCGCUUUGGGAGGGACCUGCGUCCCAUCAGCUAGUUGGUGAGGUAAUGGCUCACCAAGGCUACGACGGGUAGGGGACCUGAGAGGGUGACCCCCCACAAUGGAACUGAAACACGGUCCAUACACCUACGGGUGGCAGCAGUAGGGAAUAUUGCACAAUGGGCGAAAGCCUGAUGCAGCAACGCCGCGUGUGCGAUGAAGGCCUUCGGGUCGUAAAGCACUUUUCUGAGAGAUGAGCAAGGACAGUAUCUCAGGAAUAAGUCUCGGCUAACUACGUGCCAGCAGCCGCGGUAAAACGUAGGAGGCAAGCGUUAUCCGGAUUCACUGGGCGUAAAGCGCGUGCAGGCGGUUCGGUAAGUUGGGUAUGAAAUCUCCUGGCUUAACUAGGAGAGGUUAUCCAAUACUACCGGACUUGAGAGUGGUAGAGGAAGAUGGAAUUCCCGGUGUAGUGGUGAAAUGCGUAGAUAUCGGGAGGAACACCAGUGGCGAAAGCGAUCUUCUGGACCAUUUCUGACGCUCAGACGCGAAAGCU
rnacentral:rRNA from 1 species